UACGAAGGGAGCUAGCGUUGUUCGGAAUCACUGGGCGUAAAGCGCACGUAGGCGGAUGUGUCAGUCAGUGGUGAAAUCCCGGAGCUCAACUUCGGAACUGCCUUUGAUACAGCACGUCUUGAGUCCGGAAGAGGUGGGUGGAAUUCCUAGUGUAGAGGUGAAAUUCGUAGAUAUUAGGAAGAACACCGGUGGCGAAGGCGGCCCACUGGUCCGGUACUGACGCUGAGGUGCGAAAGCGUGGGGAGCAAACAGG
rnacentral:rRNA from 1 species